GGCCCAGACCCGAGGAACCUGCCCCCGGCGGGGCGCCCCGCCCAGCGCGCGCCGGAAAGCCGCGCCCCUACUUGGAAGGAGAGGACCCCGCGGGGCCCGGGGCGCUGGCGGCGCAGGGAGGCAGCCCGGCAGAACAAAGGGGCAUGGGAACCCGCGGGAUGCCCAGGUUCCCGCGGACGGGAGCCUCGGGGGACGCCGAGGCGCCGGGAAACUCCCCUAGACUGACGCCCACGGACUGACGCUCCCAGAGGCUGGCGCUUGGGGACGGCGCCGGGAGCAGAGGGCUGAGAACUGCCAAGAACAGAACUGAGGGGCACUGCAGGGCAGCCCACGACAGCAACGGAACAGGAGCCCAUCCCCCCGUGGGGACGGGGGACACAGUGGGCGGAGGAAAGGAGGAAAGAGCAAAUCUGCGGGGAGAAGCGCCGGCCCCAUGCAUUGUAUUAAACGCCCCGCAGCUGAGUCACUCGCGGCUCCCCGGUCCCCAAAGCCACGCCUAGAAGCCCCAGCCUGACUCAGUCCUCAGGUCCCGUGGGCCUGGCACCCAAACUGGGAACCCCUGCCCCCCAGGUGCACCCAGGCACAGACCAGACACAGCUCCAAAUCCAUUAGGGCAGCCCCUCAGGCCCCAAGGCCAAUCCCCGCCCCCGCCCCAUUCACAGGAGGAGGCAGGCCCCACCCCAUCCCUGCUGGGCGGUCCCUGGCUGCCGCAGGCGGGCACCCAGAGCGGGUGACUUUGAGCAGGCGGUGGGGCAGAGCUGCAGCCUGGCUGCCUGCCCCUUGGCAGUCCUGGGCCCGGCGGAGGGUGCUCAGGCCCAGCCCCACCUCAGUCCUGGGCAGAAGCCUGUCCCAGGACCUGCCCCAGGACGGCAGCCCUGCACCUGCCCUACACCUGCCAGCCCCCGUUCCUCUGUCCUUGGGAGCAGGGCAGAGGCCUUCCUGACAAAGGAACGCAGGACCGGAGACUGGGGCAGGGAGCUCCGCGCUCAACUGUGUGCGGGCCCUGCACUGAAGACCCUGCCCGUUUCCCUCGGGUGGGGCUGGGGUUCAGUGGCUCCCGAACCCUGGAGCCCCAGCCUGGGCAGGCAUCUUCCCACCAGCCGAUCCGGGCCGGGAUAGGCAGAUCUGAUUCUGCUCUGGAGCUCCACCCGAGUUCCACAAGAGCCGGGCGCAGGAGCUCCAGCACAGACACGGAGCUGGUGACUGUUGCCAAAACCUGUCCCCGCCACGCGGUGCUACGUGGCCAUGGGAAGAGCGCCGCCGUUGCGCGUGCUGACCCAGGGUUCCCUCUGGGACACAAGCAGUGCUGACCCCGGGUUCCCUCUGGGACACAGGCAGCACACAGGAGAGACAAGGUAUGCUGUGGGGUGGGCCACCGGCUGUGUGAUGACGGUGCUGUGAGCAUCAGGUCCCUUUCCUUGGGGAGCAUCUUGGGUCAGCUGGAGUUCUGAGCCGGGCAAAGCAAUACUACAGGAAACCUAGAAGAAAUUCCUACACAAACGCCCCGGCCUGGGCCUCCCACCACAGAAGUAAACCCCAACUCCUGCCACAGUCACAGGCCCAGGUCCAUGUCCUUCCAGCACCCCUACCCUCACCGAACCCCCCCGCCCACCGCUGCCAACUCUGGGGGGGGCCGGUGCUGCUCGACGGUCAGGUUCAGCUCAGAGCACCUCCUCGGGGGUCCCCCCCCCCAACGGCUUCUGAAGCUCGCUCCCCAGCAUCCGUCCCUCCUCUCCGCCCCUCCCCAGGUGCUAGGGGCUUCCCCGGCCAGGGGCUUGGUCUGGAUCUGGCCGGUAUGCAGCUGACGGAGCAAGCCUGCCCACACAGACAAGCAGACCACCAGGGCUCGCAGGCGGGGACGGAGCAGGCGCCUGUGACUGCUUCACGGCGUCCGAGCUCCUUGGCCAAGGCUGGACAGGCAGGGGUGACCCACUGACCGAGGCCAUUCCAGGGAUCAGCACGGUGGGCCUCACCCUAACGGAGAGCAAAGCCGAGGGAGAAAGGGGUCUCUCCAAAAAGUCACUGACUCUAGGUGCGACCCCAGAGAUGAGGACGUGCCCACACCGCAGCCAGCACCCAGCAGGCCCAAGGUGCCCCCAGCAAGGGUGGUCCUCAGGUCCACGCUGGGCCCUUGGGAAGCCCACACCCGCAGGCCUGACUCAGCCUGGAGCUGGAGCUCAUUUCCUGUUGGAAACUCUGAGCGGCCGCCUGUGGCUGCGGCUGGGAGGAACACUGAGUCACCGCCGUCGGGGCCGGGGGCGCCCUCCACUCUGCCCGCUGCGGCCACACCCAGUCCCCCAUCCUGGCGCUACGACCACAUGCCCGCCCAGCCACCCAGCCUGGCCACAGACAAGGAAGGAAAGAGAGAAAAGGAAAGAGGAGCUCGUGCUUACCGCACCCGUGACUCAGGAGAGGGAGAGGGCCGGAGGGCCGGGGGCAAGAGUCGGAGGUCCCCGGGGCUAGAACUCGGCCACGGGAUACGAGUCGGUGCUGAUCAAACACCCAGCCAAGCACGCACCGUCCCCUUGUGGGAGCUGCUGUCACCCCACUGACAAAAGAGUUGGAAGAUCCACGCAACUUCUCCACAGCCACAGGGAGCACCCGAGAACAUUCUUCUAGCCGACAACCUCACUGGUCCUCCUGGAUGGGCUCCCAGCCCUCGUGGGGCCAACGAGACCACACACCAGAACUUGAAUAGAACUUGACCCCUAUUCACCUGGCAGACUCGUGCCCACCCAGCCAGCCUCCUGGCAGGCCACCUUCCCAGACCCUUAGAGACCCCGUUCCUCCCCAGGGGACAAGACACAGAGACGGAAGCGGCAGCCAAGCCUGACCUCUGCUGGGGCACCAGGGCCACCCCAAGUCAGCACCAAGGCCAGGGGGCGGGGAAAGCACAUGUGUGAGCCCCAAGCUACAUGGGACGCCGGAGUCUUGCCAGCACAAGCUGCUUGGGGAGAGAGGGAUGCCACGGACGGAGGACACUGUGACAUGCCACGGACGGAGGACACUGUGACGGGCCCCUGGCAACCCCUGGGGCCACAGGACCUGUUCUUUCCUCUGGGAGCCCCUUCCACCGUCGGCCCAGACACAGGACGGGGCCCAGCGCCCACCACACCCUGGUUCUGGUCUGCUCUUCUCCCCACAACCCCGGGCCACCCCCUGGGCUGUCCCCAACCCCAUGGCAGUCACGCUCCCAGUCACAGUACCACAUCACAAAACCAUAUGAGCCACAAAACCGUGGGGGUAGAUGUCACCAGCCCUAGACAGACCUGAGGCUCAGAAAGGUCAGACAGUUGGCCCGGGCCACCCUACUAGAGAGCCCCCACCACGUCCCGUUCUGGCACAUCCUCUGCACUCCACAGCCUCGCCCAGAGAGGGCUUAGGGGCAGCCAAGCCAUGGGGACACGCGAGGAAGGCUCAGGCCAAAGGCAGGG